CCCGAUCGACUCCUAAUUGGAGUCGGAAAUCGCCACGGAGAGGAGUCAAACUUCUCCCCUCCUGCUCUAUUUAAAGGGGAGACACUUCUCCCUUCCCCCACCAGAGAAUCCCAGAGUCAAACAGUGAGGAUCGUCGAAGUUUUCUCGUGGAAGCCAUCAUCAUGCUCACCCCAAAUUCUCGUCAGAGAGGUCACUGGAGCUCAAGGUAAGCCCGACUUCUCUUCCUUCCUUCUCCCCCUUCCUUUCCUUGCAUGUGUGCACAAUCAUCGAUGAUCGGGUUCGUCAAAUUUUGUUGGAGAAAAUAUUUCUUGUUUUUCGGCCCUCUUUUCUUCGAUUUUCUAGCACCGGUGGUCACCGCCGAUCACUGAUUUGGUCCCUCCGGGCCACGAGAUCAUCAUCCCCUUAUCGUCGGCCACCAUCGUGCCGACCACGAUCCUUGGUCGGUCGAGCAAAGGGGGGACCACACGGUCCUCUGUUUUUGCCCAAAAGAAACCAU
rnacentral:lncRNA from 1 species